rnacentral:rRNA from 1 species
UGGGGAAUAUUGGACAAUGGGCGAAAGCCUGAUCCAGCAAUGCCGCGUGAGUGAUGAAGGCCUUAGGGUUGUAAAGCUCUUUUACCAGGGACGAUAAUGACGGUACCUGGAGAAUAAGCCCCGGCAAACUUCGUGCCAGCAGCCGCGGUAAUACGAAGGGGGCUAGCGUUGUUCGGAAUUACUGGGCGUAAAGCGCACGUAGGCGGAUUGUUAAGUCAGAGGUGAAAUCCCGGAGCUCAACUUCGGAACUGCCUUUGAUACUGGCAAUCUAGAGUCCGGAAGAGGUUAGUGGAAUUCCCAGUGUAGAGGUGAAAUUCGUAGAUAUUGGGAAGAACACCAGUGGCGAAGGCGGCUAACUGGUCCGGUACUGACGCUGAGGUGCGAAAGCGUGGGGAGCAAACAGGAUUAGAUACCCCAGUAGUCCCUGAGCGGGCUGGCAAGGCGCAU